CCCUGGAGACGGUGAUGCAGGGCGAGGGGCUGGGCCGGCCCUGCCCCGCCCCGGCCGGGCAGGGCGCUCCCUGCGGUGCGCGCAAUUGAGGAGCGGAGCGAGGAAGCGCGGGCUGCGCGGGGCCCGGCAGCUGCAGCUCGUUGGCCCCUUCGCUGCUCAUUGGCCGGCGGCGCCAGCCAGCUGGAUGUGAGCCUGAGCGCGUGAAAUAGCCUCACUUCCCCCCUCGCCCACCUGCACUGCACAGCGGCACAGCGCACGUCGUCGGGGGCCCCCUCUGUCCCGUCCACCCACCCAGGCACCCUCCCCGGCUCGCACCAGGCACCUGCCCCACCGUCUCCCACGCCCGGCUCCCCCGCCGAGGAAGGAGAGGCCGCCCCGCGCCCAGGACCGGCCCGCGAGCGCUCGCUCUCCCUGUGCCCUUCCCUGCACCCACCAUGAGCAACCUGCCCAAGGAGAACGAGCACAGCAGCAACAGCCUCGAGGAAGAGGUACGGACACUUUUUGUCAGUGGCCUUCCUGUGGACAUCAAGCCCAGAGAGCUUUACCUGCUAUUCCGGCCAUUCAAGGGUUAUGAAGGAUCGCUGAUCAAACUAACAUCAAAACAGCCAGUAGGCUUUGUUACCUUUGACAGCCGGGCUGGUGCUGAAGCUGCGAAGAAUGCAUUGAAUGGCAUCCGCUUUGACCCGGAGAAUCCCCAGACGUUGCGGUUAGAGUUUGCUAAAGCCAACACCAAGAUGGCAAAAAGCAAGCUGAUGGCCACACCGAAUCCCACCAACCUCCACCCUGCGCUAGGAGCACACUUCAUUGCACGGGACCCUUAUGACCUGACUGGAGCAGCCCUGAUCCCAGCAUCUCCAGAGGCGUGGGCUCCUUACCCACUCUACACCACGGAGUUAACCCCUGCCAUCCCACAUGCUGCUUUCACAUACCCAGCUGCUGCCGCUGCCGCUGCCGCUCUUCAUGCUCAGUGAGCAGCACCCAGGAUGCCAACGCGGGCUAGCCCUGGAGGUGGGACGCCCUAGUCCUGGCUAUUCCCUGCUAGAGAGAGGAGUGGCUGUACAGCAGCUCCAUUCCUAGAAACCUUUAAGGAUGGUGGGCCCCGUCUGGAAAGGCUGGUAAGAUGCGCUGGUACCCGCCCUCCGAAGCUACCCAACAAGGAUGGAAAUCUCGUCAGUUCUGUUAGUUUUAAGCUGCCUCUUGGCCUGUGCUCCCUCCCUCUUGUCUCUUCAUGGAGUGAUGUGCCAGGGAUGAAGUAACGUAUGGAUCGUUGGAAAUCCUCUUCCCAACCCUCUUCCCCCCCGUGGACACCAGCAAGGUGCCUAACUGCAGUGACUCGCUCUUCUCGUGGAUGAAGCCGUGUGCUUCCUCGUCCAAGGCUAUGAACAUAAACUCCCCCCACUCCCCCCACCCAGCUUGGUGGGCUGCAUGGUCUGUGUCCUCUUCUGCCUGCCUCCUCCCACUCCACUCAGCCCCAGCAAACUCCCAUGGCUGGCCCGUUCUCUUCCUGCCACGCUGAGGCCUAGUUGGGGAGACCCAAUCUUAGUGGUAGACCCGACUUUUUUUGUUUGUUUGUUCCCGGCUGGGAUGCUGGCACCAAAUGUGGUCUAGCUGUGUACAGUGCAAUAUCCAGGCCUUUCUUAUCCUAAACAUUGUUGAUGCAGUUCCGCUGGAGGAAGCGAAAGACAAUCGGUUUUGCAUGUUUUCUGGCAUGAAUUUUAAAACACUUUAACUUGGUGGGUGUGCGUGUGUGAGUGUGCAAAGCUUGUUUUUGUUCUAGCAUGUGUGUAACCAUAGCAACCUGUCUUGGCCUAGCUAUUGAUCACUGAAGUUUUUCAUCUUGCUUCUGUGAAGACUUGGCUUCCAAAAAACACUAUCCUAGUUCUUCUCUGGUUCCCCCCUCCCCCCCCCCAUUUUCCCCUCUCUAUUUUCUACUUUAACUAGAAUUUUCAGGGGGAAUCUUAAAAGUACAAUGCACUGGGUUUCUUCUUGUCCACUUUCCCCUUCUCCAGUUCAAGUCAGGGUUGUUUUUUUGUUUCUGUCAGACUUCUAUAUAUAGAACAGCUGUAAAAUAUUUAACCUUUCCCCUCAACAUCCCUCUGAUUGGAGAGAAUCCAGUCUUGCCAAAUCAGCCAUCCUUAUGGGAAUACCGAACAAAGAUGUACGAGUAUUUUUGUACCAUGUGUAAUAAGGAAAUAUUUAUGCAUCAUACAGAUUUUGUGUGUUUUUGUGCAAUUAAUUAUUAAAAAGAGAAACUGUAAUCUGUAAGAUAAGUUAAAUGUUUAGUUAAAAGCUUGAAGAGAGAUGGCUUCUCUGUAACUGAUUCAGUCAGGCAUAGUAACAAGAAAUUGUGCAAUUUUUGUUGACUUUUAUUGCUUGGUAUUGGAAGUGCUUUAAGUAUUACAUUGGACCAUGGCUGUCUUGCUUAUAUUAAGAUUCUUGAGAAUAAGUUGCUAUAUCCUAUGAGAAUGUGAAACUGGAUAAUAUAUGGAUUGUACUCA